rnacentral:ribozyme from 13 species
AAAGGAGAGAAGGAGGGAGAAAAGAAGGAGGAUACAGGUCAAACUGAAAAAGAGGAAUGAUACGUGUUUGUGUCUAUGUGUGUUUGUUUUUUUGGGGAUAUUAGUGUGACUUCCCUCUUGCAAGAGAAGGAGGGAAAUCAAAAACGGGAUGGG